CGGGACACGUGGUAUCCUGUCUGAAUAUGGGGGGACCAUCCUCCAAGGCUAAAUACUCCUGACUGACCGAUAGUGAACCAGUACCGUGAGGGAAAGGCGAAAAGAACCCCGGCGAGGGGAGUGAAAAAGAACCUGAAACCGUGUACGUACAAGCAGUGGGAGCACGCUUAGGCGUGUGACUGCGUACCUUUUGUAUAAUGGGUCAGCGACUUAUAUUCUGUAGCAAGGUUAACCGAAUAGGGGAGCCGAAGGGAAACCGAGUCUUAACUGGGCGUUAAGUUGCAGGGUAUAGACCCGAAACCCGGUGAUCUAGCCAUGGGCAGGUUGAAGGUUGGGUAACACUAACUGGAGGACCGAACCGACUAAUGUUGAAAAAUUAGCGGAUGACUUGUGGCUGGGGGUGAAAGGCCAAUCAAACCGGGAGAUAGCUGGUUCUCCCCGAAAGCUAUUUAGGUAGCGCCUCGUGAAUUCAUCUCCGGGGGUAGAGCACUGUUUCGGCAAGGGGGUCAUCCCGACUUACCAACCCGAUGCAAACUGCGAAUACCGGAGAAUGUUAUCACGGGAGACACACGGCGGGUGCUAACGUCCGUCGUGAAGAGGGAAACAACCCAGACCGCCAGCUAAGGUCCCAAAGUCAUGGUUAAGUGGGAAACGAUGUGGGAAGGCCCAGACAGCCAGGAUGUUGGCUUAGAAGCAGCCAUCAUUUAAAGAAAGCGUAAUAGCUCACUGGUCGAGUCGGCCUGCGCGGAAGAUGUAACGGGGCUAAACCAUGCACCGAAGCUGCGGCAGCGACGCUGAUGCGUUGUUGGGUAGGGGAGCGUUCUGUAAGCCUGUGAAGGUGUGCUGUGAGGCAUGCUGGAGGUAUCAGAAGUGCGAAUGCUGACAUAAGUAACGAUAAAGCGGGUGAAAAGCCCGCUCGCCGGAAGACCAAGGGUUCCUGUCCAACGUUAAUCGGGGCAGGGUGAGUCGACCCCUAAGGCGAGGCCGAAAGGCGUAGUCGAUGGGAAACAGGUUAAUAUUCCUGUACUUGGUGUUACUGCGAAGGGGGGACGGAGAAGGCUAUGUUGGCCGGGCGACGGUUGUCCCGGUUUAAGCGUGUAGGCUGGUUUUCCAGGCAAAUCCGGAAAAUCAAGGCUGAGGCGUGAUGACGAGGCACUACGGUGCUGAAGCAACAAAUGCCCUGCUUCCAGGAAAAGCCUCUAAGCAUCAGGUAACAUCAAAUCGUACCCCAAACCGACACAGGUGGUCAGGUAGAGAAUACCAAGGCGCUUGAGAGAACUCGGGUGAAGGAACUAGGCAAAAUGGUGCCGUAACUUCGGGAGAAGGCACGCUGAUAUGUAGGUGAAGCGACUUGCUCGUGGAGCUGAAAUCAGUCGAAGAUACCAGCUGGCUGCAACUGUUUAUUAAAAACACAGCACUGUGCAAACACGAAAGUGGACGUAUACGGUGUGACGCCUGCCCGGUGCCGGAAGGUUAAUUGAUGGGGUCAGCGCAAGCGAAGCUCUUGAUCGAAGCCCCGGUAAACGGCGGCCGUAACUAUAACGGUCCUAAGGUAGCGAAAUUCCUUGUCGGGUAAGUUCCGACCUGCACGAAUGGCGUAAUGAUGGCCAGGCUGUCUCCACCCGAGACUCAGUGAAAUUGAACUCGCUGUGAAGAUGCAGUGUACCCGCGGCAAGACGGAAAGACCCCGUGAACCUUUACUAUAGCUUGACACUGAACAUUGAGCCUUGAUGUGUAGGAUAGGUGGGAGGCUUUGAAGUGUGGACGCCAGUCUGCAUGGAGCCGGCCUUGAAAUACCACCCUUUAAUGUUUGAUGUUCUAACGUUGACCCGUGAUCCGGGUUGCGGACAGUGUCUGGUGGGUAGUUUGACUGGGGCGGUCUCCUCCUAAAGAGUAACGGAGGAGCACGAAGGUUGGCUAAUCCUGGUCGGACAUCAGGAGGUUAGUGCAAUGGCAUAAGCCAGCUUGACUGCGAGCGUGACGGCGCGAGCAGGUGCGAAAGCAGGUCAUAGUGAUCCGGUGGUUCUGAAUGGAAGGGCCAUCGCUCAACGG
rnacentral:rRNA from 1 species